rnacentral:tRNA from 1 species
GGCGGCAUAGCCAAGUGGUAAGGCAACGGUUUGCAAAACCGUCAUCCCCAGUUCGAGUCUGGGUGCCGCCUCCA